CGAAAGCCUGACGCAGCGACGCCGCGUGGAGGAGGAAGUCCUUCGGGAUGUAAACUCCUUUUGCCAGGGAAGAACACAAUGACGGUACCUGGUGAAUAAGCCCCGGCUAACUACGUGCCAGCAGCCGCGGUAAUACGUAGGGGGCGAGCGUUGUCCGAAGUUACUGGGCGUAAAGCGCGCGUAGCGGGGGAUUAAGUGAGAGGUGAAAGCCCUGGGCUCAACUCAGGAACUGCAUUGGAAACUACCAAGCUGGAGUACGGUAGGGGCAGAGGGAAUUUCCGGUGGAGCGGUGAAAUGCAUUGAGAUCGGAAAGAACACCAACGGCGAAAAGCACUCUGCUGGGCCGACACUGACACUGAGAGACGAAAGCUAGGGGAGCAAAUGGGAUUAGAGACCCCAGUAGUCCUAGCCGUAAACGAUGGAUACUAGGUGCUGUGCGCCUCGACCCGUGCAGUGCUGUAGCUAACGCGUUAAGUAUCCCGCCUGGGGAGUACGUUCGCAAGAAUG
rnacentral:rRNA from 1 species